UGGGGAAUAUUGCACAAUGGGCGAAAGCCUGAUGCAGCGACGCCGCGUGAGGGAUGACGGCCUUCGGGUUGUAAACCUCUUUCAGCAGGGAAGAAGCGAAAGUGACGGUACCUGCAGAAGAAGCGCCGGCUAACUACGUGCCAGCAGCCGCGGUAAUACGUAGGGCGCAAGCGUUGUCCGGAAUUAUUGGGCGUAAAGAGCUCGUAGGCGGUUAGUCGCGUCUGCUGUGAAAACUCGAGGCUCAACCUCGGGCUUGCAGUGGGUACGGGCUGACUAGAGUGCAGUAGGGGUGACUGGAAUUCCUGGUGUAGCGGUGGAAUGCGCAGAUAUCAGGAGGAACACCGAUGGCGAAGGCAGGUCACUGGGCCGCAACUGACGCUGAGGAGCGAAAGCAUGGGGAGCGAACAGGAUUAGAUACCCUGGUAGUCCAUGCCGUAAACGUUGGGCACUAGGUGUGGGGUCCAUUCCACGGAUUCCGUGCCGCAGCAAACGCAUUAAGUGCCCCGCCUGGGGAGUACGGCCGCAAGGCUAAAACUCAAAGGAAUUGACGGGGUCAUAGCUGUUUCCU
rnacentral:rRNA from 1 species